GAAUAAAACAAAAAGUUACUAUAACAAUGCCAGCAAUCCUUGGUGAUGCCAAAUAUACCCGAAAUCUCCUCUCAAAGCAGACAAAAUUUCUACAGAUGACAUCGCCCGAAUAAUUUUGGAUCUAAUUUUGAACCUUGAAAAGCUUCUUGGCGAUCGACUUCUUCCAAUAUCGGGGCUUUUACUUGGUCUUUGCCUGCAAAGCUGUCGAGCUAUUUUUAAGCUUGGGAGGAUCAAAAACACAAAGCAAAAAGCAAAUUGAGUGCCAAUAGGUUGUGCCUUCAAAAAACCGGAGGAGCGCUAAGCGAGCAAGUGACACUGACUGUGCAUAAAGUGAGAAUUGUCGAGCUGACAAUUUAUGAGCGACCAUUAGUGGCAACGAGGACUUAUAUGUAUUUGGCGCAUCAACUAAAGCUUUGGAAAAAGAGGCGUUACCGUGGAACACAGCAGGGCUCAAGCAACGAAAUAUAUCAAACCAAAAUGUAUUUCUUGUCCAAACGUAAAUUUCAGCUAAAUAUCCAUUUGGGAAAAACCGAUGUGUCCUUCUGAGUCCCAAAUGGAGCAAUGUCAAAAUAGAACAGUGCGACGAGUAUGGCAGUGAACAUAAUUUUUCUUUUAAUUUAAGAUUGCUAAUAAAAAAAUAUUAACCAUACAC